ensembl:snRNA
AUGUUAUAUGAAAGUAGAGAGGGUUAGCACUCCUUUUGAUAGAGAUGGAAGAAGUGCUAGUGGCCUUUCCACUACAUAUAUGAUUAAGAUGUUUCUCUGUGGCAUCUAUCCAUGGGGUCUUAUUUUU